rnacentral:rRNA from 1 species
CUUUACUGUAGCUUGGAAUUGGGUUCGGGCUUUGCUUGCGCAGGAUAGGUGGGAGACUGAGAAGUGUGCCUUGUGGGGCACAUAGAGUCAACGGUGAGAUACCACUCUGUCAGAGCUAGAAUUCUAACCUUCACCCGUGAUCCGGGGAAGGAACCGUAUCAGGUGGGCAGUUUGACUGGGGCGGUCGCCUCCUAAAAGGUAACGGAGGCGCGCAAAGGUGUUCUCAGGCUGGUUGGAAAUCAGCCGUAGAGUGUAAAGGCAGAAGAACGCUUGACUGUGAGAGUGACAACUCAAGCAGGGUGGAAACACGGCCUUAGUGAUCCGACGGUAUGCGCGUGGAAGUGCCGUCGCUCAACGGAUAAAAGUUG